ACGGGUGAGUAAUGCCUAUGAAUCUGCCUGGUAUUGGGGGACAACGUUUCAAAAGGAACGCUAAUACCGCAUACGUCCUACGGGAGAAAGCAGGGGACCUUCGGGCCUUGCGCUAUCAGAUGAGCCUAGGUCGGAUUAGCUAGUUGGUGAGGUAAUGGCUCACCAAGGCGACCAUCCGUAACUGGUCUGAAAGGAUGAUCAGUCACACUGGAACUGAAACACGGUCCAGACUCCUACGGGAGGCAGCAGUGGGGAAUAUUGGACAAUGGGCGAAAGCCUGAUCCAGCCAUGCCGCGUGUGUGAAGAAGGUCUUCGGAUUGUAAAGCACCUUAAGUUGGGAGGAAGGGUUGUAUAUUAAUACUCUGCAAUUUUGACGUUACCGACUGAAUAACCACCGGCUAACUCUGUGCCAGCAGCCGCGGUAAUACAGAGGGUGCAAGCGUUAAUCGGAAUUACUGGGCGUAAAGCGCGCGUAGGUGGUUCGUUAAGUUGGAUGUGAAAUCCCCGGGCUCAACCUGGGAACUGCAUCCAAAACUGGCGAGCUAGAGUAUGGUAGAGGGUGGUGGAAUUUCCUGUGUAGCGGUGA
rnacentral:rRNA from 1 species